GCCUCAAGAUUAGAUCCCUGUAAUCCAGUUAAUGGAGUAAGACCGCAGGUAGACCACCUGCUAUAUAGGCAACAAGUGUAAGCAUAGUAAUAUGUUGAGCUAAGUUGUACUAAUGGUCGAGGGCUGAAUCCC
rnacentral:rRNA from 1 species